rfam:Metarhizium majus ARSEF 297 Scaffold_95, whole genome shotgun sequence.
ACAGUUAUAAGUUAAGGGUAAACUGUUCGUCUACCAAACGAAGCUUGUCUGUUCGAUUCUGACUAAUUGUA